rnacentral:tRNA from 1 species
AGGCCAGUAGCUCAAUGGCAGAGCAUCGGUCUCCAAAACCGAGGGCUGCAGGUUCAAGUCCUGCCUGGCCUGCCA